UACAGAGGUCUCAAGCGUUGUUCGGAUUCAUUGGGCGUAAAGGGUGUGUAGGUGGCGCCGUAAGUCGGGGUGAAAUCCCGGGGCGUCAACCUCGGAAUUGCCUUCGAUACUGUUAGUCUUGAGUGCAGGAGAGAAGAGUGGAAUUCCACGUGUAGCGGUGAAAUGCGUAGAGAUGUGGAGGAACACCAGUGGCGAAGGCGACUCUUUGGCCUGUAACUGACACUGAGGCGCGAAAGCGUGGGGAGCAAACAGG
rnacentral:rRNA from 1 species